AGGACCAGAGCCUUAUGGGUAGCAAUUUGAGGGAUCGUGACUAUCAACAAGAGGGAGGGAGGGAGGGAGGGAGGGAGGGUGCAAAUGCAAUGCCAUUGCAAGCAGAGAGUAAAAGGGGGAAAGUUAACGCAGAAAUAGGAAGCAUAGUGGAGGGAGGGGCUAGCUAGCAGCUUUGAGCUUCUACAAACUUUGUGUUUCUUGCCCCCCUUUGAAUGAAUACUCACUUCAAUGUCAUGUCUUGGCAGCCCUAUGCUCACUCACUACAGGCCAAACCACAUUUGUAUUUGACACAGGUGCACCCAUUACAUCGGUUUAUCAAUUCGGAAAUAGAUUAACGCUUGUUCAGUGUUUCAACUUAAAUUAGAUUCAAAUUAAGUAAUUAUGAAACUCACCCUUCUACAUAGACUAGCACAUCGCAAUAUAGGUUUUAUUUUGUUGAAUUGAAAUCUUGUACGGUAUGCUUGAUGAAACGACAUGGUGGGAGUAGUUUAUAAGCACUAGCAAAGCAAUAAAGAUUAGUGGAACACUAAAACGAUGGUUUGUGAAUUUUUAGGCUUUUCAAAUCAAUCUUUUCCAAUUCAUGUGUUCAUCAAUCAAUCAACCUUCCCUUUCUUAUCUCUACACAAUCUCAAAACUCUUUUGAGGAGGGGAGACAUAAUGAAACUGCCUAAUCAACCACCCCUAAUGUGAAACUAAGUAAUUAAAUUAAGCUAAUUAGAGAUAUAAUUGUCAACUCUUUGACAAAAAAAAGGGCCCACCAUGCCUACCUAGCCAAUCAAUCAAUCUAAUAAUCUUCAAUCAGGCUUUUGGCCCAACAAUUCCAUAAACAAAUUACUUUUUAUUUUUUUAUUUUUUACCUCAACACAAAAAAUAGUCAAUUUGCCCCGCAUUUUUCUGCGUUGAAUUGAUUCAUUCACCUUCCUAGGGUUUACACUUAUUUACAGUUUCAUUAACCAACUUGACUUUUUGAACACGACGUAAUACGUAUGCUUGUAUUUAAAAACACUGUCUUUUCUUUUAAAUAAAAUAAAUAAAUAAAUCAUAAUCUUUUGUGACAUAAUUUAAAAUUUACAUGUUCUGGUCUCUAGACAUAGAUAGAGAGACACGAGAGGAGAAUGAUGUAAAGUCAGAAGCGCAUUUGAAGAGAGUAAACAAUAGGUUAAAAUGGAAAUCCGGCAUUAUUUUGUUUAUUGGUUUGGUCGUUUACAUAAUAAACGUGGGUUAGGUCAAUUAGCUAGAAUCAUAAGCGCACUUUUUUAUAUCCAAAUUUGAGUCCCUCAUUUCAUAAACUAGACUAUGGUAUAAAUACUCUAACACUAUUAUAAACAAUGUUUAAAUUGAUAAAAAGGAUUGACAACUUCCCUCCUACUCUAAUAACACCAUUAAAGAAGCAACCAAGACCUAUAAUUAGGACAUGACAGAGAUGGAAAGAAUAAUUGCAAUAAAUUUGGCUACACCUAUACGGCUGCUUCUUCUUCCUAAAAAUUUUUGAGGAUAAUUUCUAAUUUCUAAUUUCUUUUUUAUUUUUUUAUUUUUACAAGUGCCCCCCGGUGGCAAAAAAAUCCCAGAGGAUUGUGGCAUAACAAAAGGGAGAACACCUACAUGGGCUACAAGGUGGCUCCGUCAACUCCCUCCACCAAUGUGUCACCAAAAUCAUCUACAAUCUCAAAUGACACCAAAAAAACAAAAACAAAAACAAGUACUCUCUGUGUUUUGUUUUAAAUUAAUUAAUUAAUUGCUAUUGGCCAACAAAUGUUAUCCACUACUAUAUCCAUAUUUAUUAUUAUUUAUUUAUUUAUUACAAUGACAGUUGUAAAUUCACCUUUCACCUAUGAGAGCCGAGAAAGAGUCCAACCCCCCCAACCGGCAAGCAGAGCUCACUGUUCCAGGCCAAUUGACCCAACACCCGGGGCCCACCCUUACACGUCACCACGUAAGACGCAAAAAUGGGGCGCAUAACCUUUAACCGUAUCUAGUCUAAUCAGGGUCAAAUUCGUCUUUAACAAAGGUUCUAAUUUAGACCAAAGAGCAGCAGAAGAAGGAGAGAGGCGGACUAGUACAUGUAGUAGUAGUGCGUCUCCAUUCUCUCACCGACGGAUGUGGCGCGCUGGGCCCCACGCGGUAACGACAAAGGCGCGAAAUAUAGAAAUUUUUAUCUCUUUACCCUCCUAAUUGACCGUUGAUCACGGACGAAUAGCAAGCGCCCACUCCUGACCGUCGGAUUGAGCGAGGAGGGUAAACCAACGGCCUCACCCGUCGGUGUACCCAGUGGUAAACAGUGUAAAAGACAAAAAGCUAAUAACCAUUAACCCGGGUUAAACCCGGUUAAAACUAAAAAAACGACGUCGUUCACUGUCGUUUAGUUAAUGUCUGAGAAAAAGAGAGAGAGAGCGAGUGGUAUUUUUUAAUUUAAAAAAUAAAAGGGUAUAUAAGAAACAGACAUGCUCUGCAGAGUGUGUGUUUGCCUGUACCUCCUCUUCUUCUUCCUCUGCGUUCUUCAUUGCCCUUCUCUUUCUUUCUUUCUUUCUCGGGUUUUGGUGUGCGUUUGUUUUGGUUGGUUGGUUUUGUUGGUUGAGCUUUUCAUGCUACUCCUCUCUGUGCGUUUAGCUGGCUUUGGUGGCGUGCUCUGUUAAAAGAAAACAGACUAACCUCCAAAACGACUCCGUUUCUCUCUUUCCCUCUUUUUCUUUCUCGGAGACUAAAAUGAGAGUUGAAAUUCCUUUUGUCUAACCUAUAUAUAAGCAUUUUUGUGUUUUCAUGGAUAUUAUCGAAACCAAGUGAGGACUGUAUCUCUGUGUGUGUUGGUGUUUGGUGGCCGAAAUUUUAAUCCGAAAUUUUGUAUUUGGGGGGAAAAGAUGACUUCGACUCGGUCCGAAAUGCAAGAGCCGAGCAUCGACACCGAUAAGCUCAGCUACGAGAUAUUCUCCAUAUUGGAGAGCAAGUUCCUCUUCGGCUACGACGAUCAGAAACUCUGGGUCCCCAAGCAGGUCUCUCCGUCUCCGCCCCCCUCCGACCCCAAACUCGAAACCCAGCCCCAAUCCGAAACCCCCGUUUCGGCAAUCAAGAACCAGAGGGGCAAAAUCUGCAUACUCAGCAUCGACGGCGGCGGAGGCAUGCGGGGGAUUCUCUCUGGCAAGGCCCUCGCGUAUCUCGAGCACGCGCUCAAGCUCAAAUCGGGCAAUCCCGAAGCCAGAAUCGCC
rnacentral:lncRNA from 1 species